rnacentral:lncRNA from 1 species
UGGGGACGAAGUCUGUAUUAAUUUUUUUUUAUUCGAUCAUGUUGAUAAACGGAAAUACCGUAACGUUUCCGAUAUUGGUUCUGUUGUUAGGGAUUUAAUUGUGACGUUAUUUAAGUUAUGACGUCAUAUUCAAUGUAAACAAAGAAACGCUGUUAGCAGGUAACGUUUUUUUCAUAUCAAACAAUUAUUGAAAAUGAUUGGGUGUUGAAUUCCUUCCUAUAUUUGUUGAUAUGUUGAUAAAUAUACAUUUUAUUCAAAGUCUCAUGCCAACAAGACCGGAAGAGGAAGCAAC